UACGAAGGGGGCUAGCGUUGCUCGGAAUCACUGGGCGUAAAGGGUGCGUAGGCGGGUCUUUAAGUCAGGGGUGAAAUCCUGGGAGCUCAACUCCAGAACUGCCUUUGAUACUGAGGAUCUUGAGUACGGGAGAGGUGAGUGGAACUGCGAGUGUAGAGGUGAAAUUCGUAGAUAUUCGCAAGAACACCAGUGGCGAAGGCGGCCUCACUGGCCCGUAACUGACGCUGAGGCACGAAAGCGUGGGGAGCAAACAGGG
rnacentral:rRNA from 1 species